rnacentral:rRNA from 1 species
AGGGUUUGAUCCUGGCUCAGAUUGAACGCUGGCGGUAUGCUUAACACAUGCAAGUCGAACGGUAACAUAGCUAGCUUGCUAGCUGAUGACGAGUGGCGGACGGGUGAGUAAUGCAUAGGAAUCUGCCUAUUAGUGGGGGACAACCUGUGGAAACGCAGGCUAAUACCGCAUAAGCCCUACGGGGGAAAGCGGGGGAUCUUCGGACCUCGCGCUAAUAGAUGAGCCUAUGUCAGAUUAGCUAGUUGGUGAGGUAAUGGCUCACCAAGGCGACGAUCUGUAGCUGGUCUGAGAGGAUGAUCAGCCACACUGGGACUGAGACACGGCCCAGACUCCUACGGGAGGCAGCAGUGGGGAAUAUUGGACAAUGGGCGAAAGCCUGAUCCAGCAAUACCGCGUGUGUGAAGAAGGCCUGAGGGUUGUAAAGCACUUUCAAUAGUGAGGAAUACCUGGGGGUUAACACUCCCCAGACUGACAUUAGC